CUUUCGCAGUAUGCCUACGAUGCAAAAACGCUUCCAUAUAUCUGUGAAAAGCUGAAUCCUUUACAUCUCCUUGUUUAUUUAGUGAAGUAUUGCUGUCGAACGCCAUUGGAUACUGCUUUCAUCGAUUCAAUCUCAUCAAUAUAUUUAUCUUCCACGAUGACAUCUGUUCAUUGUAUCAUCGUCGUCGCUCUUGCAAUCUCUACGAAUUGUUGCGAAUUGUACAUUUCAGAAGACGGCGAUCUAUUCGAGAUGACCGAGUCGACAUCAACCUAUGUCACAGUAUUUCCGUCGAAUCUAAUAUUUCCAAGACAAGGACAGUAUCAUCCUUGCCAUCGUCCUCGUCUUCUCAAUUUUUAUUUUGGCUGCUACAAUUUGGUAUCUGUGUUAAAAAUACGCAAAUACAGGUCACGGAUUUCGAAUUCAAACCAAUCCUUUCACAUUUCUAACUGUACCUCCAGCCAUAGCCUUCUCUAUUAGAGAAAGCCGAAAGGAACGCUAUCCCUUGCAUGUGGGAAAAGUG